UACCUACUCCCUCUAUCCAACAAAGGAUGUCUCAACUUUGACCAAAUUUGAAUGCAUCAAUACACUAAGUCAUGUCUAGAUACAUUUGAAUUUUGAUAGAUUUGAGUCAUCUUUUAUUGGACGGAGGGAGUAUAUA
rfam:Brachypodium distachyon strain Bd21 chromosome 1, whole genome shotgun sequence.